GGCAAGAUGGCGGAGUGGUUAACGCGUUGCACUGCUAAUCCCUAUACAGUGAUAGUAAUGCAAUCCCUUCGGGGGCCUGAGUUCGAAUCUCAGUCUUGUCG
rnacentral:tRNA from 1 species